AAAUGAAGUUAAUUGCCUUAGGAAAUUGAGGCACGAGAACAUCAUUUUGUUUAUGGGGGCAAACUCUGCAAGGCUUGCUCUUCAAGAAGGUUGCUGCACAUUGCUAGUAUUCAUUCAAGCAGGUGUCAUUUGGACUGGCAUAUUUGCAUGGCAAGACACCACCUAUUGUUCAUCGG